CAGCUACUCCCUCCGUUCGAAAUUACUUGUCGCAGAAAUAGGUGUAUGUAGACAUAUUUUAGUUCUAAAUACAUCCAUAUCGGAGACAAUUAAUUCCGAACGGAGGGAGUACGUC
rfam:Triticum aestivum genome assembly, contig: Triticum_aestivum_CS42_TGACv1_scaffold_000696_1AL